GGCGGCUGGAAAGGGCCGGUCUCUUCUCAGGUUGGGAUUUCUUUUCCAUUUUUACAGACCUCCAAGGUGGGAGGUGUCAGGCACUUCGACAGAGUCCUAUCUUUAGCCCCAGUCUGGGAGUGGGAAUGAGGGCGACGGCCCGCUCCUUCAGUUACACUUGUGGAGGGUCGAAUGGAGACAGGAGGGAACGUCAUCCUCCACCUCUGUCGCCCGCUUGUGCCCGAGUCGGGUGGGGUGGGAGGAGAAAUCAGGUCCAUGUUGGAAUCCCUCCCUCCUGCAGUUUCUGGCCGGGUAACCAGAAAAACGGAGCUACUAAUACCCCCGUUGCAAGGUCAAUGGGAGGAUUAAAUGUCAGAAUAUAAACCCUCAGUGUAGGAGAAUUUCUCCUCCAACCCCACUCAUCCAAACCUUUCCUGUUCUUCCAGUGGCUGUCCAGAUGAGUUUCCCAACUCCCCUGGAAAGAGGACCCUCACCUGCAGAACCUCUCCCCAGGACUAGAGGGUCUUUGUGGAAUCCCCAGCCGCCACCUCCCCGAGUCAGCUUUUCUGAAAGCAGUUCUCUCACCGGAUUCGCAGCAGAAUUACCAGGUGGAACACAGGGAUUCCAGUGCACCCAGCCCUGCUGAAUCAGAACGUCUGGGGGUGAGGCCCAGCUUCCUCGCCUGAACAAGCCUGGCGCUGGGGAACCACUGUCCCAGAUUACAGGGUACUUGCCCGGCUCAUCCCCUCCCCUGCUGGCCUGGGACGGUCAGGGGCAGUGGGAGGCAAGUCCCAUCAGCACUUUUAACUGGGGCUGCCUUUUCGUGACUCACCUCCCAGACUUCCCGCAGCAGACAUCUCUAAAUAGC
rnacentral:lncRNA from 1 species